ACGGCUCAGUAACACGUGGACAACCUACCCUUGGGACCAGUAUAAUCCUGGGAAACUGGGCAUAAUGCUGGAUAGGUCACAAUUGCUGGAAUGCAUUGUGACUCAAAGCUCCGGCGCCCAAGGAUGGGUCUGCGGCCUAUCAGGGUAGUAGUGGGUGUAAUGUACCUACUAGCCUACGACGGGUACGGGUUGUGAGAGCAAGAGCCCGGAGAUGGAUUCUGAGACACGAAUCCAGGCCCUACGGGGUGCAGCAGGCGCGAAAACUUUACAAUGCGGGAAACCGUGAUAAGGGGAUCUCGAGUGCCAGCAUAUAAUGUUGGCUGUCCAGAUGCUUAAAAAGCAUUUGUUAGCAAGGGCCGGGCAAGACCGGUGCCAGCCGCCGCGGUAACACCGGCGGCCCGAGUAGUAACCGUUAUUAUUGGGUCUAAAGGGUCUGUAGCCGGCCAAGUAAGUCCUUUGGGAAAUCUGGUAGCUCAACUAUCAGGCUGCCAGGGGAUACUGCUUGGCUUGGGACCGGGAGAGGUGAGAGGUACCUCAGGGGUAGGGGUGAAAUCUUGUGAUCCUUGAGGGACCACCAGUGGCGAAGGCGUCUCACCAGAACGGGUCCGACGGUAAGGGACGAAAGCUAGGGGCACGAACCGGAUUAGAUACCCGGGUAGUCCUAGCCGUAAACGAUGCUCGCUAGGUGUCAGUCACGGUGCGACCGUGAUUGGUGCCGUAGGGAAGCCGUGAAGCGAGCCACCUGGGAAGUAUGGCCGCAAGGCUGAAACUUAAAGGAAUUGGCGGGAGAAACAC
rnacentral:rRNA from 1 species